GAUGAACGCUGGCGGCGUGCCUAAUACAUGCAAGUCGAGCGAACGGACGAGAAGCUUGCUUCUCUGAUGUUAGCGGCGGACGGGUGAGUAACACGUGGAUAACCUACCUAUAAGACUGGGAUAACUUCGGGAAACCGGAGCUAAUACCGGAUAAUAUUUUGAACCGCAUGGUUCAAAAGUGAAAGACGGUCUUGCUGUCACUUAUAGAUGGAUCCGCGCUGCAUUAGCUAGUUGGUAAGGUAACGGCUUACCAAGGCAACGAUGCAUAGCCGACCUGAGAGGGUGAUCGGCCACACUGGAACUGAGACACGGUCCAGACUCCUACGGGGGGCAGCAGUAGGGAAUCUUCCGCAAUGGGCGAAAGCCUGACGGAGCAACGCCGCGUGUGUGAUGAAGGUCUUCGGAUCGUAAAACUCUGUUAUUAGGGAAGAACAUAUGUGUAAGUAACUGUGCACAUCUUGACGGUACCUAAUCAGAAAGCCACGGCUAACUACGUG
rnacentral:rRNA from 1 species